UACGAAGGGUGCAAGCGUUACUCGGAAUUACUGGGCGUAAAGCGUGCGUAGGUGGUGAGUUAAGUCUGUCGUGAAAGCCCCGGGCUCAACCUGGGAAUGGCGAUGGAUACUGGCUCGCUAGAGGGCGGUAGAGGAGAGUGGAAUUCCGGGUGUAGUGGUGAAAUGCGUAGAUAUCCGGAGGAACACCAGUGGCGAAGGCGACUUUCUGGCCUGUUCUUGACGCUGAGGCGCGAAAGCUAGGGGAGCAAACGGG
rnacentral:rRNA from 1 species